rnacentral:rRNA from 1 species
GAUGAACGCUGGCGGCGUGCCUAAUACAUGCAAGUCGAACGGACAGACGAGGAUCUUGCUCCUCUCACGUUAGCGGCAGGCGGGUGAAUAACACGUGGAUCACCUACCUAUAAGACUGAGAUCACUUCGGAACACCGGCGCUAAUACCGGAUAAUAUAUUGCACCACGUGGUUCGAUGGUGAAAGACGGUGUUUCGGUCACUUAUAGAUGGAUCCGGGCCGUAUUAGCUAGUUGGUAAGUUAACGGCUUACCAAGGCGACGCUGCGUAGCCGACCUGAUAGGGGGAUAGGCCACCUUGGAACUGGGACACGGACCAGACUCCUACGGGAGGCAGCAGUAUGGAAUGUGACGCAAUGGGCGAAAGCCUGACGGAGCAACGGCGCGUGAGAUACGAAGGUCCCGGGAUCGGAAAACCCGGUUACUAGUUAAGAACCAAUGUGGAAUUAACCGUGGACGGCGUGACGGUACCGGAUAAGAAAGCAACGGCUAACUACGUG